UUUGAAGGCUGAGCAGAUGGGGAUAGCUGCUGGGUUUGGAGGAUGUGGAGAAAUUUGCGUGAAUAUUUGGCAUCAAUUUUUGUCAAGACACAGCUGAAGUCACUGUCAGAAAAUUAUGCCGAAUGCAGUGAAAUCACAAGGAUGCUUGUAUAGUGGUUCAUUCUGGAACUCAGGAUUCACAAAAACAUGAUUUGGAUCUUAAUUCUUCAGGUGGAAUCCCAGGGAUUUCCAUUACCAAGUUUCAUUUACUUUGUCAUUCUUUAUUUCUGUGCAUUUUUUUUUCUAUACAGUUUGAGUUAAAUCUCCACAAGCCUUCUAUUUCCUAUGAUCCCUCACAGUUCCAUUUACCUGUGGGUCAGUGGUGAAUUCGUGAGAAAAUACUGGUUUGCCAGGAUGUUAUUUAUUGGUCCUGACUGAAAAUAAGCACCAUGCUACUAAGACAAACAGAGGCGGUUUGAAUCCUGACACAGGAUUCAAUGGAAGAAGUAAGAUCCGGAUUGAUGUCUCUGACUGGUCUCAUUCACAUCUGAGCUCUGACCUGGAAUCUUGCUUAUCACACUGUUUUCUGACAACUGCAGUUAUUAAAGAGUCCAUUCCAUCUUGCCAUAGGGGGAUUGACUGUUGUUUGUGCAUGCGAGUUCACAUGGACUUCUCCCUGGGUAGCAUCUCUGGCCUUACCUCAUUGCAGUGAGCUUGCAUGAGUGCAGCACCCAGGACCAAAACAUUUGCACAGCCUGUUUUUUUUUCAAUUAUAAAUUUAUUAUUACCAUUAUUAUUUAAAUAAAAUAUUGUAUCCAAAAUCUAUUUAAUUG
rnacentral:lncRNA from 1 species